CAGCUGCCAGGUGCAUAAAAUCUAUUGUGUUUUGCUACCCAUCUCACAGAGGUAGCUGAGGGACUAUGGGUGGAAUCAGGGUGUUGAUAGCAGGCCAAGGAUUGGCUUGAAUGGUGUCAAAACUAAAAAUGUGCCAGAAUAUGCAGAUAAAUCACAAUAAAAUGAUUGCCUGAGGAGACAACCAGAAAAGAAAAAAAUUAUGAAGAAGAAAAGGCAUAAAAAUGACUUAAGAUGAAGGGGAGAUUACAUAUGUUCCUUUUGUAAAUCAGAGUGUUGGAGAAUCAUCCCUUCAGAGCACCAUGGAACCCCAACGUGAAACUUUGCUAAAGAACUGACAGAUAAGCUUGGAUACCUCAAAGAGUGUAACUACUCCAUGA